rnacentral:tRNA from 1 species
GUGCCUGUAGCUCAAUGGUAGAGCAGCGGCCUUUUAAGCCGUUGGUUGGGGGUUCGAGCCCCCCCGGGCGCA